UCGGGCUCAAGGCAACGUCGUUUGUCCUGUUGCCUAGACUGGAAUCGCUUCAAUCCUACUUACAGGGGGUACCACUUUUGACUCUCUUUUCAAAUUUAGUGUGCCGUUAACCAAUUAUUCAGUUUGUAACAUUUCUCAUCGGUCUAAAGAAGCUGAGUUUCUUCGAGCCUGCAGUCUCAUCAUCUGGGACGAGGCUACUAUGGUACCUAAGCAUGACUUCACCAAGUGGAUGCAUUGCUAAGAGACAUCACCAACAAUGACCAUACCAAGUUCGGUGGCAAAGUUCUGCUGCUCGGAAGAAACUUUAGGCAGGUCCUGCCUGUGGUUCAGCACGGUCGUCGGGCCAGAUCAGGUCAAUGCCUGCAUCUAGAACUCUCCAUUGUUGCCUUCCUUCAGAAAGUUCAGCCUGAGAGUCAACAUGAGGGUAGAGCAUGGCCAGGAGGAGUUCCAAGAAUUCCUCAUGCGAGUGGGCGACGGGCUUACACCACCAAUCGUAUAUCUGCCCGAAAACUUAUUCGAGGUUCCGAGUAUGAUGGUGCUACAGGACGAUGAGAACAUCUGUUCGGUUGUGUUUGGUACCGAAGGUCUCACCGAAGAGGUAGUCAGCAGCCAGGCGAUACUGUGUCCAAAAAAUGAGGAUGUUGAUGUAGUCAACAAAAAGAUGGUGUCCCAAUUACGUACAUAAUCACGUACAUACCGGAGUUUCGACAGGCUGGAGGACACAGCAGAAGAAGGGAUGAAUGUGCCUGUCGAGUUCCUAAGCACACUCACACUUUCUUCCCUUCCUCCUCACUCUUUGACCCUUGAUAUUGGAUCAUGCUUCAUGCUUAUCCGAAAUCUAGAUCCCAAGCAUGGUCUUUGCAAUGGGUCAAGGUAUAUCGUUGAUCGCAUGUCUAACUAUGUCAUAGAUGAAAAAAUUAUAAAUGGAUCCUUCAAAGGUAAAAGAGCGAAUCUUCAAGUUCGACAACUUUCUUGCCAUCACCCUGACUUGGUAUGCAGGGUGUUCAAAAUGAAGCUGGAGGACUUCAUUGAGGAGCUUACGAAGCAUCUAAUUUUGGGCAAUGUUAAUGUCUACACUUAUACCAUUGAAUUCCAAAAGCAUGGCCUACCUCAUGCUCACAUCCUCAUUAGCAUGUAUAAACCUGACAAAAUUUAAACUCCAGAAGCAGCUGAUGCUACUAUAAGUGCACAAAUUACUAAUUUCAAUGUUUCGCCUCAACUUCAUGAAUUGGUCAAGAGUCACAUGGUUCAUGUCAAGUGUGGCAAGGAUGCCUCCUGCUACAGAGAAGGAAAUGCCGCUUCAACUUUCCCAAGGCUUUUAGGACUGAAACUCACCUAAACUACAAAGGCUUUGUGCAGUAUCGGAGGCCAGACAAUAAUUGUACCGUGAUUAUUGGUACGAACCAGUAUGACAACAGGCACAUUGUUUCGUAUAACCCGUACCUUCUUCACAAAUACCAGUGCCACAUCAAUGUCGAGAUCUGCACUUCUAUGCAGGCCACAAAAUAUCUGUACAAGUACAUCCACAAGGGUCACAAUUCGACUGUACUGCAAGUCGAUGAUAUUAUGAGGGACAAGGUGCAGUCGUUCAUUCACUGUCGCUACGUCAGUUCCCCAGAAGCGUGUUGGCGUUUCCCUUCAUUCAAAAUGGCCGACAAAAACAUUGUCGUUGUGAGGCUUGGACUUCACUUUGAAGGCAUGCAGCCUGUCUACAUUCAAAAUGACAAUGUCAAUGCUGCUUUGGAGAGUGCACAGCAGAAAAACACACACUUGACUGCAUACUUCCAUUACAAUUUGCAGCACAAACUUAGUUAUCAUGCUGUGGACGGUGACUGAUGGUCUACGCCAUGUCCUCUUCAAGUAAAGUAUGUCGACUUCCCGCUGUACUUCGGCUGGAUGGAGAAGGAGUGAGUUUGGAAGCCACAAGACAAGGGUGGCUUCAACAUAAUCUCUAGGUUGUACCAGGAAAGCCCCAGAAGGAUGAGGAACUCAUGUGCCUUAGAAUUUAUCUUCACAAUGUCACGGGUGCUACAUCCUUCUAAAACAUACACACUGUGGGUGUGUUCGAGCAUCCUACCUAUUAAGAUGCAAGCCAAGCUCUUCUUCUUCUCGACAGGGACGACAUCUACGAGCUGUAGUUAUUCGAAGCGGCGACUAGGUGUUCCCCUGGCCUACGGGUAUUCUUUGCCCACAUUCUAUUUCACUGCAACCUAUCGGAUCCUCUGCAUUUGUUAGCUCGGCUCAGGCAACACUUGCUCGAUGACACUUCUGCUGUUGAAGUGGCCUGUGAAAAUCUAGCACUCUUACAAAUUUCCUCACGGCUUUCGUACUUCAACAAAAGUCUGGCCGACUAUAGCUUUCCUUCGCCCGAUGAGGGACGUGUUCAAGAAAUGCCGCAAUUUGAUGUAGAUGUCGACAAAACGGAAGCAGAGCGCAUGUGUCCCUUCUCAAUGUGGAUCAACGAGCAGUUUACUAACACAUCACGGCUGCUGUUUUUGAGUCUUAAUCUUGCGAAGAAUCUCGCUGCAGAGCUUAUUUCUUGGAUGGUCCUGGAGGUUCUGGGAAGACGUUCCUCUACAACCGUUUCAUACAUUGCUUUCGGGCUCAAGGCUAGGUCGUUUGUCCUGUUGCCUGGACUGGAAUCGCUUCAAUCCUACUUAAAGGGGGUACCACUUCUGACUCUCUUUUCAAAUCUAGUGUGCCCUUAACCAAUGACUCAGUUUGUAACAUUUCUCAUCAGUCUAAAGAAGCUGAGCUUCUUCGGGCCUGCAGUCUCAUCAUCUGGGACGAGGCUCCUAUGGCACCUAGGCAUGACUUCAAUAAGUGGAUGCAUUCCUAAGAGACAUCACCAACAAUGACCGCACCAAGUUCGGUGGCAAAGUUCUGCUGCUCGGAGGAGACUUCAGGCAGGUCCUGCCUGUGGUUCAGUACGGUGGUCGGGCCGAUCAGGUCAAUGCCUGCAUCAAGAACUCUCCAUUGUGGCCUUCCUUCAGGCAGUUCAGCCUGAGAGUCAACAUGAGAGCAGACCACGGCCAGGAGGAGUUCCAAGACUUCUUCAUGCGAAUGGGCGACGGGCUAACACCACCCAUCGUAGAUCUGCCCGAUGACGUCAUCGAGGUUCCGAGUACGACGAUGCUACAGGACGAUGCGGUCAUCUGUUCGAUUGUGUUCGGUACCGAAUGUCUCACCGAAGAGGUAUGUCUUCGAGUAGUAUAUAUUGGGGGCUCCUACGCCUGGGUCCGGGGCGUGGUGUGUGGUGGUGCCGACCACCAUAUUGGAUUAUGACGUCACGAUAGCCAUCUUGGAUGGUUGUGACCUUGACCUUUGACCUUGACCCUGACGGCCAUUUUGGAUCCACCAUUUGGAUCCGCCAUUUUUGAUGAUGCAAUGUGUGUUCUCGUAAAUUCUGGCGAUGUGUUUUCCACCAUUUUGAAUUAUGAUGUCACCGUUGCAAUUUCCGUUACGGCCGCCAUCUUUAACUUUUUUAUUUAUUAUCCGAUUUUAAUUAAUUUUUUUUAAAAUUUAUAAAAAAAUUCACUUAAUAAAAAUUUAAUAAAAAAUAUUUAAAAAAUAUACUUUUACGACACGGAGUUCGGAGUCCUCGGUUCUAACCCGGUGAGGGCAAAAAAAUAAAAAUGGCGACCGAUCCUUCCCCCCGUGGUAGGUGCUGGCAGACUGACCCCCACCACUUUUUACCAAUGCAUAUUCAAACUUACAAACCCAUCGCCACCCCUCCCCCCCUCCGCCAACCCUUCCUAAAAAAUUAUUUUUUUCGCACACGGCAAUCACCCCUCCCAUUUUUAAUUUUUUAUUUUUCAUUGUAAUAGCCACCCUCCACCACUACUCUAGUUUUUUUCCCUCCCUCCCUCACCUUACCGUCAUUCCCACCCCUACCCUCCUCCUUACCCCUAUUUUACCUUUUAAAGUAUAAAUAACGGCCGCAGGACCCGGGAGCCGUCAGUUUUUGCCUCAGUUUCUCCUCUGUCGACCCCAAGUACUUACUGCGUGCCGCGUAGACGUCUGUCGACGCCGAGUACUUAGAUCGCGUCGCGGAGACGAAUUUUUGUUUUUUUCACGUAAUAAAUUAACCAUGGUUUCGCUUGCCGAAAUGCAUGAAUUCAUUGCUGAAAUAAUCACAGGAUAUGAAGGGAUGUCGUUCGAUCAAAUUCGUCAAUCGCCAACUGCAACCAUCAAAAGUACCCUUGAAGCAUUUCCCGGAUGCGAGGAAUUCAUUCUGUAUCUACACCACCGCAUCCUGUGUAUGGUGGAGGCGGCUGUAGAGCUCCAGCAGCAGCAGCAGCAGCAGCAGCAGCAGCAGCAGCAGCAAGAUGCACAAGACUCCGGCAUCGAAGAGUGAGGUGCCAUCGUCGCUUUAUCCUCGUAACAAAUCCAGCAACAUCAACAUGUCGACGACAUAGGCGGCGGCGGGUGACCGUAUCUACGAGGGUCGUCGGAGCCCAUCGAUGUCGCCAUCGUCCGACACGUUUUGGACAUCUUUCGCAGAGGGGCCGUGGCAGCAGCACGUCCCAAACGAGGACGUCUCAGCCGUCGUGACGCGACAGCUGCCCCGGAGAUCGUCAACGUGGUUCGCCCAGAGGACAUCUUCUAUCAGGUACCCAGACUUUGUCGACCACGUCGGCGACGUCGACGACGUCGGCGACGUAGAUGUCAUCACGUGGUGCUGGGACCUCUGUCCGGACCCACGCCCUCACGAGACUGAAAAGUGUGCCUUGUUAGACAUCAGCCAAAAAAACUAUUCUUUCGUAGGAUCAGGACAGCAGUGCGUUCAAUAUCAAAUGUUUUAUCACGGUUCCACUACCGACGUGUUCGCCACGAACAUUACGUAUUUUGAAUCGUGUCGUGACGACAUGCACUUAAGGCUUAAAUGGGAUUCCAAGGAUCCCUUCGGUACCGUGAAACCUAUAAUUGCAUAUGACUGUACGAACCCAAAUUGUGUAAUCAAACUAUGCCAUACGCAAGCGUAUUUUCCGUGUUCGAUUGAUGAACUAAAGACAUCGAAAAUCGGUAAUCGUAAAUAUCGCUACAGUGAACAGUGCCGUAGACUAAAACAUUGUAGGUACAUGUACCACGAUGAUUUUGGUUAUUGUUCAAAGUUUGAGACACCUUGCUGUCGUGAACUGUCCCGUGGCCAGAUCGAAACUAUUGUGUGACGCUAACUUUAACGCAGCAAUGUAUAUUCACAGGCAAUGCAAAAAUUAACCGUCAUAUACUUUAUAAACAAUAUUUUGAUGUUGUAUAUUUCUUGCAGUGUAUCUUUUUAAUAAAAACGUGAACGAAAAAAAAAA